CUCUGCAGAUCAAACCCAGCGGGAACCUCCCGUUGAUCACCAAGAAGAGAGGAGGGAAGUUGGUCAUUGUCAACCUCCAGGCAACCAAACACGUGGCCUCUCUUAGCAGGCAAACAGGCUGGGAGUCCUUGGUUGGAGGGUUUAAACCUGCAACUCCUGCUAAACACGUAGAGAUGGCAGGACCGCCAGGCCGACCUGCGCAUCCACGGCUACGUGGAUGAGGUGAUGAUGAAGCUGAUGAAGCACCUGGGGCUGGAGGUGCCCGAG